UGGGGGAUAUUGCACAAUGGGCGAAAGCCUGAUGCAGCGACGCCGCGUGGGGGAUGAAGGCUUUCGGGUUGUAAACCUCUUUCGCUAUCGAACAAGGCCCGCUUAGGGUGGGUUGAGGGUAGGUGGAGAAGAAGCGCCGGCUAACUACGUGCCAGCAGCCGCGGUAAUACGUAGGGCGCGAGCGUUGUCCGGAAUUAUUGGGCGUAAAGGGCUUGUAGGCGGCUUGUUGCGCCUGCGGUUAAAACGCGGGGCUUAACUUCGGGCGUGCAUUGGGUACGGGCAGGCUUGAGUGUGGUAGGGGUGACUGGAAUUCCAGGUGUAGCGGUGGAAUGCGCAGAUAUCUGGAGGAACACCGAUGGCGAAGGCAGGUCACUGGGCCAUUACUGACGCUGAGGAGCGAAAGCAUGGGUAGCGAACAGG
rnacentral:rRNA from 1 species